rnacentral:tRNA from 1 species
GGGACGGUAGCUCAGCCGGGAGAGCGCAUCCCUCACACGGAUGAGGUCAUGGGUUCGAGCCCCAUCCGCCCCA